CUUCACCCUGGAAGGAAGAGGAGGACCAGAAGGACAGCCUCGGCCAGUCUAAAGGGGGCACCAGCACAGCUCCCCACCCUCCGGGUUACAUCCAGACACCAAGGCCUACUCAGAGGAGACCCACUGAAAUCAAGGGACUGGUGUUUAUCCUCAUUAUGACUACUGUGGAGUUCCCUCUGGAGAGAAGCGAAACUGGCUCCCUCUUUGUUAUCCUGCCGCCAGAGGCUGAGACCUUCCUGUCCAGACAGGCCUUUGGGGCAGGCGAUGAAGAUCCGCUGGGCAAAUCGCUGCACCUUAAUGACGGGUUCUAUCUGUGUUCUAACUAUUGCUUGCCUUUAUUACUCUGUAUUCUAGAAUGAUGUUGUUAAAUGUCAGAAGCCGCCUUGAAUCCCAGGCAGAAUAGGAAUACAUUUAGUAAUAAUAUAAAGGCGUUCCUAAACGUCUUUUCAGAUCUUUCAGAGCCUCUCUCCAGCAGCAUACGCCACGUGCCAUAAAAAAGGCAGUGAUGGUGCCUGCCUGACGUCAACAGGCAGGGAGUUCCACAGAGCAGGGGCUGCCACACUAAAAUAUCGAUGUGGAACAGGAUUCAUUCUAUACAACCGUCUCAAGGCGACA